rnacentral:snoRNA from 1 species
GCAUGCUUACACAGCCAGACACCAUGCAAAAGUAGUCUUCCCUUUAAAAUGGCUAUGAUGGUAUGCCAAGUUUUUUCAUAGCAUAUCAUUACUAAAAGUGGAUACAAAU